rnacentral:tRNA from 1 species
GGGGAGGCGGCUCAGUGGUUAAGAGCGCUGGCUGCUCUUCCAGAGGACCUGGGUUCAACUCCCAGCAACCACA